AGGAGAGUUUGAUCCUGGCUCAGGACGAACGCUGGCGGCGUGCUUAAUACAUGCAAGUCGAACGGAUAUGUAGCAAUACAUAUUAGUGGCGGACGGGUGAGUAACGCGUAAUCAACCUGCCUUUUACAGGGGAAUAACACUUGGAAACAGGUGCUAAUACCGCAUAUGACCACAACACGGCAUCGUGAAGGGGUAAAAGUUUUAUCGGUAAAAGAGGGGGUUGCGUAUCAUUAGCUUGUUGGUGAGGUAACGGCCCACCAAGGCGACGAUGAUUAACCGGCCUGAGAGGGUAAACGGUCACACUGGAACUGAGACACGGUCCAGACUCCUACGGGAGGCAGCAGUGGGGAAUAUUGCGCAAUGGGCGAAAGCCUGACGCAGCGACGCCGCGUGGAGGAUGAAGGUUUUCGGAUUGUAAACUCCUGUCGGAAGGAACGAAAGAUGUUGGUGUUAAUAACACCAGCAAGUGACGGUACCUUUAAAGGAAGCACCGGCUAACUCUGUGCCAGCAGCCGCGGUAAGACAGAGGGUGCAAGCGUUGUUCGGAAUUACUGGGCGUAAAGGGCGCGUAGGCGGAUAGAUAAGUUGGAUGUGAAAUACCGUAUUUUAAGUAUGGAACUGCAUUCAAGACUGCCUGUCUAGAAUAUCGGAGAGGGAAGCGGAAUUCCUGGUGUAGAGGUGAAAUUCGUAGAUAUCAGGAGGAACACCGGAGGCGAAGGCGGCUUCCUGGCCGACGAUUGACGCUGAGGCGCGAAAGUGUGGGGAGCAAACAGGAUUAGAUACCCUGGUAGUCCCCU
rnacentral:rRNA from 1 species